rnacentral:rRNA from 1 species
GAUGAACGCUGGCGGCGUGCCUAAUACAUGCAAGUCGAGCGAACGGACGAGAAGCUUGCUUCUCUGAUGUUAGCGGCGGACGGGUGAGUAACACGUGGAUAACCUACCUAUAAGACUGGGAUAACUUCGGGAAACCGGAGCUAAUACCGGAUAAUAUUUUGAACCGCAUGGUUCAAAAGUGAAAGACGGUCUUGCUGUCACUUAUAGAUGGAUCCGCGCUGCAUUAGCUAGUUGGUAAGGUAACGGCUUACCAAGGCAACGAUGCAUAGCCGACCUGAGAGGCUGAGCGGCCACACUGGCACUGAGACACGGUCCAGACGCCUACGGUAGGCAGCAGUAGGGAAUCUUCCGCAAUGGGCGAAAGCCUGACGGAGCGACGCCGCGUGGGUGAUGAAGGUCUUCGGAUCGUAAAACUCUGUUAUUAGGGAAGAACAUAUGUGUAAGUAACUGUGCACAUCUUGACGGUACCUAAUCAGAAAGCCACGGCUAACUACGUG